UACAGAGGUCUCAAGCGUUUGUUCGGAUUCAUUGGGCGUAAAGGGUGCGUAGGCGGCGCGGUAAGUCGGGUGUGAAAUCUCGGGGCUUAACUCCGAAACUGCAUUCGAUACUGCGGUGCUUGAGGACUGGAGAGGAGACUGGAAAUUCAUGGUGUAGCAGUGAAAUGCGUAGAGAUCAUGAGGAAGACCAGUGGCGAAGGCGGGUCUCUGGACAGUUCCUGACACUGAGACACGAAGGCCAGGGGAGCAAACGGG
rnacentral:rRNA from 1 species